GCACAAGCAGUGGAGUAUGUGGUUUAAUUCGAAGCAACGCGAAGAACCUUACCAGGUCUUGACAUCGUAUGCAUAGCUCAGAGAUGAGUGAAAUCUCUUCGGAGACAUAUAGACAGGUGGUGCAUGGUUGUCGUCAGCUCGUGUCGUGAGAUGUUGGGUUAAGUCCCGCAACGAGCGCAACCCUUACUGUUAGUUGCUACGCAAGAGCACUCUAAUAGGACUGCCGUUGACAAAA
rnacentral:rRNA from 1 species